rnacentral:tRNA from 1 species
GGAGGUAUAGCUCAGUGGUAGAGCACUUGCCUGACAUAUGCAAGGCACUGGAUUCAAUCCUCAGGACCACCA